GACCCAAUAGAAAAUAAGUGGGCAUGGCCCAAUAGGAAAUAAAAAUAAAUGGGCUUAGCCCAAAUAAGAAAAAUGGAGAAGCCCAUGGAGAGGGCCUAAAGGUCAUAAAGAAAUGAAAAAGGCCCAAUGGAAAGUUUGUCAUGGAGGCGUGCCGAACGAAGUAUGUGAUCGACAAAUAGGAACAAUUAUAUACGCGUACAAAUCAAUAGUGAAGUAAUAUCCCACUAUUAUGAGGUGAGUAGGGGGUGUCAAUUUUAAAAAAUUUCGUAUAUAUAUACAUGUACGUAUAUUUUAUGAGAAGUGCAAAAUUUAUGGAAAGCAUGCAUUGAUAGAAUUUUAAGGAAUUGUGCGUGUAAGUUAUUUUUAGAAAUCAUUUGGAAUAUAUAUAUAUAUAUUAUACGUAAAGUGUUUUAAACCGGGAAACAAGCUUUUCGAAAAGAUUUGCAUCAAAGGAAAUUGUGCCUUAUUGUU